AAUUCUCAACUUCAAUAGUUUGUAAUGAACUGUUUGAAGCUUGGAUGUGGAGGUUUUGCUGGCGUCUUAGUAUGUUCGGCUCCUCUUAAAUGCAUUAGUGGAACCCGUUUGUUGGACUAUCCAUAGUGUGAUAAUUAUCUACGCUUUGGUUGAUUCAAUGAACUCUAUGAACUUCUUUCAGAAUUGCUUAGGCAUUCUGGUUUGGGUUAUUGUACUUGUUGCUUUACCUGGUUCACUAGAGUUUGGGACAUCUGCUCUCUAACCGUCUGUGUAUGCGGACAAGUUUUUUGAU
rnacentral:misc_RNA from 1 species